rnacentral:rRNA from 1 species
GACGAACGCUGGCGGCGUGCUUAACACAUGCAAGUCGAACGGAAAGGCCCUGCUUUUGUGGGGUGCUCGAGUGGCGAACGGGUGAGUAACACGUGUGUAACCUGCCCUUGACUUUGGGAUAACUUCAGGAAACUGGGGCUAAUAUCGGAUAGGAGCUCCUGCUGCAUGGUGGGGGUUGGAAAGUUUCGGCGGUUGGGGAUGGACUCGCGGCUUAUCAGCUUGUUGGUGGGGUAGUGGCUUACCAAGGGUUAGACGGGUAGCCGGCCUGGGCGGUGGGACGGGGACAAGGGGACUAAGGGACGGCGCAGUCGCGAACCGGAGGCAACGGUGGGGAGUAUUACGCAGUGGGGGGGAGCGAGUGACAAAGGCGCCGCGUGCGGAAUAACCGCCUACGGGUGAUGAACCACUUUGGCAUGAAACGAGGCGGUAGUGACGGUAAUGAAUAAAAAAGCACCGGCUAACUACGUG